rnacentral:rRNA from 1 species
UAAUAGUUGAGUUUGGUGAUGGCUCUGAUUGAAUGCUGUCCAAGUGCUUGACACAUGCUAAUCGUACGUUUUAAUUUUCUUAAUUAAAAAGUGGUGUACAGGUGAGUAUAUGGAUAUUCUUCGCCGGCCUUAAAGUGGAGGUAAAUCCUUCAUAAUGAAUAAAGGGAAACUAAAAAUUCCUGCUUUAAGAGGAUAAUAAAUAUCUUCGGGAUAGGUAGUAGUUAAGGUGAUGACUUAACUAGCCUAAAACUCUCGUAGUCGAAGCUGAAAGGUUGAUCGACCACAUUGGGUCUGAAAAAACCCCAAUGCAAGUUAGUACAGCAGUGAGGAAUUUUGGUCAAUGGCCUAACGGCUGAACUGGCAACUUGGAGAAGUGGCAAGUUCUAUUUUGAUCAUAUCUUUGAAUAUGAUCUAUAGGAUUGUAUUAAAAUUGAAUAAAGCUUUGUUUAUAUAUUGAUAAUGACAGUGUAUAUAUCGUGUCUUGACUAAUUGCGUGCCAGCAGUCGCGGUAAUACGUAAGAGACUAGUGUUAUUCAUCUUAAUUAGGUUUAAAGGGUACCUAGACGGUCAAUAUAGCUUCUAGAAUGUUAGUACUUGACUAGAGUUUUAUGUAAGAGGGCAGUACUUGAGGAGGAGAGAUGAAAUUCUAUGAUACCAAAGGGACUCGGUAAAGGCGAAGGCAGCCCUCUAUGUAAAAACUGACGUUGAAGGACGAAGGCACAGAGAACAAACAGGAUUAGAUACCCAAGUAGUCUUUGCAGUAAAUGAUGAAUGCCAUAGGUUAGAUUAAGAUUUAGUUGAAUAAAUUAAACAUUAUUUAGUCUAUAAAUGAAAGUGUAAGCAUUUCACCUCAAGAGUAAUGUGGCAACGCAGGAACUGAAAUCACUAGACCGUUUCUGACACCAGUAGUGAAGUAUGUUGUUUAAUUCGAUGAUCCACGAAAAAUCUUACCACAAUUUGUAUAAUUAUUACAGGAGUUGCACGGCUGUUUUCAGUUAAUGUUGUGAAACUGUGGUUUCCAUGAAAUUAACGCAAUCCCUGGCUUUAUUUUUGUUUUUUUUACGAUAAAGCAUUUGAUCCUAGAAUUUGGAAAGAAAAAGGGGACAAAGACAAGUCAUCAUGGCCUUAAUAUUGUGGGCUAUAGACGUGCCACAUAUUCCUAGACAAAGAGAUGCGAAAAUGUGAAUUUAAGCUAAUCUCAAAAAAUAGGAUAUAAAUUUUAAGGAUUGUAGUCUGAAAUUCGACUAUAUGAAUAAGUAAUUACUAGUAAUCGUGAAUCACCAUGUCACGGUGAAUUAACCUUGGAUUGGUACUAACCACUCGUCACAUGCUGAAAAGAGCAUGCGCAAUAAGUUUGCUUUCUUAGUAAUUAGUAAAAAAAACAAGUAGGUUUUGUGUAUUCUAUUAUUGGGAAUCUUCGUAUGCGUGGCUCUAAUUAGUGUUAAGUCGAAAUACGGUUCGCGUAGUGGAAGUUGCGCGGGAUUGAUGAACAUU